UAUUGUAAUGCCAGUAUAACAUACUCAUCACAGUAUUAAUUCUACUAGAGGCGACUUUGGUGACAUUCAUCACUGUUGAUCAUCAUUGGGAAGAGGAUAUUCCAUUUGAUCAAACUGGUGAACUUCAGAGUGUUAAAUCUUUCCUUGAAGAUAAUCUGGAUAUGUGCGAAUGGGUUGGCAUUACUGUGGUUGUAGUUGAGGUGCAUAUGAACAUUAUAAGCAAUCAAGAAAGG